UCUAGAGUNUCGGAGAGGAAAGUGGAAUUCNUAGUGUAGCGGUGAAAUGCGUAGAUAUUAGGAAGAACACCAGUGGCGAAGGCGACUUUCUGGACGAAAACUGACGCUGAGGCGCGAAAGCCAGGGGAGCGAACGGGAUUAGAUACCCCGGUAGUCCUGGCCGUAAACGAUGGGUACUAGGUGUAGGAGGUAUCGACCCCUUCUGUGCCGGAGUUAACGCAAUAAGUACCCCGCCUGGGGAGUACGACCGCAAGGUUGAAACUCAAAGGAAUUGACGGGGGCCCGCACAAGCGGUGGAGUAUGUGGUUUAAUUCGACGCAACGCGAAGAACCUUACCAGGUCUUGACAUUGAUGGACAGAACCAGAGAUGGUUCCUCUUCUUCGGAAGCCAGAAAACAGGUGGUGCACGGUUGUCGUCAGCUCGUGUCGUGAGAUGUUGGGUUAAGUCCNNCAACGAGCGCAACCCCUAUCUUAUGUUGCCAGCACUUUGGGUGGGGACUCAUGAGAGACUGCCGCAGACAAUGCGGAGGAAGGCGGGGAUGACGUCAAAUCAUCAUGCCCCUUAUGACCUGGGCUACACACGUACUACAAUGGGAGUUAAUAGACGGAAGCGAGAUCGCGAGAUGGAGCAAACCCGAGAAACACUCUCUCAGUUCGGAUCGUAGGCUGCAACUCGCCUACGUGAAGUCGGAAUCGCUAGUAAUCGCAGGUCAGCAUACUGCGGUGAAUACGUUCCCGGGCCUUG
rnacentral:rRNA from 1 species